UACGUAGGGUGCAAGCGUUAAUCGGAAUUACUGGGCGUAAAGCGUGCGCAGGCGGUUUUGUAAGUUUGUCGUGAAAUCCCCGGGCUUAACCUGGGAAUUGCGAUGAAGACUGCAAGGCUAGAAUCUGGCAGAGGGGGGUAGAAUUCCACGUGUAGCAGUGAAAUGCGUAGAGAUGUGGAGGAACACCGAUGGCGAAGGCAGCCCCCUGGGUCAAGAUUGACGCUCAUGCACGAAAGCGUGGGGAGCGAACAGG
rnacentral:rRNA from 1 species